CUGCCCUUGACUAUUGUGUCAGACAGGGACAAAAUUUUCACUAGUCAUUUCUAGAAGGAGCUCUUUCGUGUGUGGGGCACUGAACUGCAAAUGAUUACAACGUACCACCCCAAAGAUGGGCAAACCGAUUGAGUAAACCAAUGCCUUCAGAUGUACCUCAGAUGUGCAGUACAUGAGUUUCCAGCAAAGUGGGCAGUGUGGCUACCUCAGGCUGAAUUCUGGUAUAACACCUCAUAUCACUCUUCACUAGGGUGUACACCUUACAAAGCCUUGUAUGGUUAUGCUCCUAACAUGGGACAGCUACUGGGGCAUCCAACUUCUCUCAAACCAUAUGUGAAUACUUGGUUGGCCGCUCACACUCAACAUACAACAGUACUGAAGGAACACUUGACCAGAGCUCAGUGCAAAUACAAACACUUUACUGACAAAAAACGCUCCAAGCGGGAAUUUACUGGUGGUGAAAUGGUGUACUUAAGGUUAUAGCCAUACACUCAGUCCACUGUGGUGAACCGACCUUGUCGCAAGUUAGCACUGAAGUAUUUUGGGCCUUACAAAAUAGGGAUAUUUAAAUUAGUGCCGCUGGUUCCUUAA
rnacentral:rRNA from 1 species